rnacentral:tRNA from 1 species
GCCUGGGUGGCUCAGUAGGUUAAGCCUCUGACUUUGGCUCAGGUCAUGAUCUCACGGUUCGUGGGUUCAAGCCCCGCGUCAGGCU